GGGUGCAAGCAGAAUAGCAGUUUCAGAUUGUGGAUCUGAAGACAGAAGGAAAGAAGAACUAAGAAGAAUGAGAGAGAGAAUCAAAGAAAAUUUCUCAUACCUGGACCUAGAGAAGGAAGCAAGCAGGAGCAGUCAAAAGCCAGAAACGUAGGUUCUGCUGAAGGUGAUACAAGUGAGAAAGUCCUUUUUGUUUUGCUUCUGUCUUACAAUUCGGGCUGGUUGGACCUGACCUGCACGAGGUGCGCCUGGGUGCACAUGGUAUAGGUUGGCUGCCUUUUGUUUGUUGAGGCUUUGGGGGAGUCGCCUGUUAUGCCUUUUGCCUUGUGCCUUGUGCCCAGGGUGCACCUCAAGCACGCCUUUGAUAACAAUGAGUACAAUAUAUUUUGAUGAGAUUUACAAAUGUCUGCAGUCAUAGAUAGGGAUUUCAUCUAUGACUGUUCCAUGGAUCUCAUGAGAAAUAUUUGAUGCUUCUUUGGCCUAACUUGUGAUCAUUAAGUUAGUGGGUGAAUCACAAGUAGGGUGAGAUUCUGAUGUGGCUUCAUCAUGAUGCAAACUCAACUUGCUUCUACCUGCCCAAGGCACCUUGGCAGUCUUGAGGACAAGGGUUUCCUUUCUUUGCCAUAAAACAUUUAUGCUUUACUGUUAAAGAACUGCUUACAUUUAUUUCUGUUAUUAGCAAUAUGAACCAUCAUCUAGUGGCUUUUUAGUCAAUUAUUAUUUUCAUCAUCUGUAGAAGUUCCUGCAUUAUGCACUGAUUAGUCGUGACAGGAUCAUGUGCUUGUGUUUCUAUAAGUUGGGAAUUAAUUUUUGUCUUGGUAGCCUAUUUUUAUGAGUUCCAAUCAUGCUGGGUGCUGUAUAACUUACUGAGUGACGUGUGGCUUGAUCUGAUUCAUUUAAUCCACAUGUUCUAUUAAUUUUAUGUGCUAGUGUACUAAAGCUCCUCACAUUUUCAUUUUGGUUUGUCAGAAGAAUGAAGGUGAUAUUAUGGUGAUUGAUGUUCAAUGUGUUCCAGCUGAUUUCCAUGCCAGAUUUAAAGCUCAGGAACGCACGUACUUCUACCGAUUGUUAUCUGGACCAGAGCCUUUGUCCACCUUUGAGAAAGACCGGGCAUGGCACGUACCUGAAAAACUAGAUCUAGUUGCUAUGCAGGAAGCAUGCAAAGUUCUUGUUGGACAUCAUGAUUUCAGUUCCUUCAGGGCGUCUGGUUGUCAGGCAAAAUCACCCAUCAGAACGUUAGAUGAACUUUCUGUUUCUGAGGUGGCUUCAACUCCAUAUUUUCCAUCAAUCAUAGAGAGGGAAAAGAAAGGUUUUCAAGGGGAAGAUUCAUGCUGCAAAAAUUUUCAGACUGACAUGACUAGCGGAUCUAUUUCUGACACUAACAUUUCAGGGGGCUCCAACAGUGAGGAUCUAGGAUUUGGUAUAAGGAGAAGACAUCGUUGCUUUGUUGUAACAGCACGUGCCCGCUCUUUUCUUUACCACCAGGUUCGACUACUUGUUGGUGUUCUCAAAUCCGUUGGCACUGGAGAUCUCACAAUUUCAGAUGUGGAAAGAGUACUGAAUGCCAAGUCUGUGAUGGCGGCUAGUCCUAUGGCUCCUGCUUGUGGUCUCUACCUUGGGCAUGUAAAUUAUGAUCUACCAUGAUUACUGAUAAAUGUGGUUUUUUCAGAAACACAUAAUGAACUUACAGAUUUGAUACGUAGCAAGGAUUUAUGUUCCAUCAGAAAAUUUAAACGCAUCUUGAUGGUUGGAAAUUGGAUCAAGGCACUCAAUUGCUUGCAGAAAGAUUUAUUCCACUUUGCUUGCUCAGAGUCUUUUCCAGUUUGGUUUGUUUCUCUAGAAUGUCAAGAGCGUGUUUAACAUUAGCAAAUGUCAAUUUCAAUUUUGGUAUCUUCAAUGAUUUGAAUUUACUUUAAUGUACAAAACACGUACAAGGAAAACAAAAUUCCAGGUUUUUGUAAUGCUAUAUUCAGAAAAUCCGUUUCUACUGGAAUGGAAUACAUCUCUGCGACUGCCUGGAUGACAAUGUCUAAACAAUGUAAAUUUGUUAGAUAAGCUUGCAUUUGAUUUAUAACGAAUUUCGAGA
rnacentral:misc_RNA from 1 species